AUUGCCCUAGUAACGGCGAGUGAAGCGGCAACAGCUCAAAUUUGAAAUCUGGCCCCCGGGUCCGAGUUGUAAUUUGUAGAGGAUGCUUUUGGUGCGGUGCCUUCCGAGUUCCCUGGAACGGGACGCCAUAGAGGGUGAGAGCCCCGUCUGGUCGGACACCAAUCCUCUGUAAAGCUCCUUCGACGAGUCGAGUAGUUUGGGAAUGCUGCUCUAAAUGGGAGGUAUAUGUCUUCUAAAGCUAAAUACCGGCCAGAGACCGAUAGCGCACAAGUAGAGUGAUCGAAAGAUGAAAAGCACUUUGAAAAGAGAGUUAAACAGUACGUGAAAUUGUUGAAAGGGAAGCGCUUAUGACCAGACUUGGGCGCGGUUGAUCAACCUGGGUUCUCCCUGGUGCACUCCUCCGCGCCCAGGCCAGCAUCAGUUCGCUGCGGGGGAUAAAGGCUUCGGGAACGUGGCUCCCUCGGGAGUGUUAUAGCCCGUUGCGUAAUACCCUGCGGUGGACUGAGGUUCGCGUUCUGCAAGGAUGCUGGCGUAAUGGUCAUCAGUGACCCGUCUUGAAACACGGACCAAGGAGUCGUCUUCGUAUGCGAGUGUUCGGGUGUUAAACCCCUACGCGGAAUGAAAGUGAACGCAGGUGAGAGCUUCGGCGCAUCAUCGACCGAUCCUGAUGUUCUCGGAUGGAUUUGAGUAAGAGCAUACGGGGCCGGACCCGAAAGAAGGUGAACUAUGCCUGUAUAGGGUGAAGCCAGAGGAAACUCUGGUGGAGGCUCGCAGCGGUUCUGACGUGCAAAUCGAUCGUCAAAUAUGGGCAUGGGGGCGAAAGACUAAU
rnacentral:rRNA from 1 species